rfam:Stegodyphus mimosarum contig68124, whole genome shotgun sequence.
GCCUUCGUGGUAUAGUGGUCAGCACGCUCGACGUAUUCGAGAGGCCCAUGGUUCGAGUCCCGGUGAAGGCA